UGUUUUGAUUCCUUUCUUCUUCUUCUUUCGCAUUAUUUAGUGCGCCGCCUGCUGCGAUUUUGGCGAGUGAAUAAAAUAUGAUUUUGUGGGAGUGAUAUCAACAGUUCUAGAUAGUCCAGAGUAGAUUAAGACCCGGCACCGGCGUUUUGGAGAUUUCCGGAACACGAAGUUCGGUGGCCUGAUGCUAUUCGAAAACGACGAGUUAAUUUGCCAAGGAUUUUCCUGCACUAAGUGAAUCGACCUGAUGCGGUCUCCAGCGUCACCGCUAACAUGCCGCGCAACACCUGAAAAACGCAGUCCAAGAUUGUGCCCUGCAACCUGGCGUUCUGGAUAUCACUUCGCUACAUGUCUCCAUGUGAGCACCGUGCCGGAAGUCUCCGCUCAUGAAACGAAACCUAUCCCGUUCUGUUUCCUACACUGAGCAAAACUUACACAGCUUAACGAAGUGUUCUACACAUGAUCUGGCCCUGCUGUACAGAGCACUCAGAAAUCAAUCGCAAAACACUUGAAUUUUGGGCACCUAAAGAUGCUGUCAAUUCAAUAGCACAACACUUGAAUUUGAUGUGUUGUGUCACAUGCAAAACCACGUUAUAUCUAUUGGUUUUUAAUGAUUUUUCCUUCUAUAAUCAAUGCAUGUUUGUAUGUAAUAGAAA